CACUGCUGAACGGCAAGAAACCCGGUGAUGCCAAAACGACAGCUGUCUUCAUCAUCACGGAGAAACAGGAGACACCUCUCAAAGAUGCUGCUCCGGCCGCCAAGGAGCCGAAGGACGCCAUGGAGAUGAAGGAGAUGGGCAAAUUCGAGGAGGUCCCCCUGACG